rnacentral:rRNA from 1 species
UACGUAGGGUGCAAGCGUUGUCCGGAAUUACUGGGCGUAAAGAGCUCGUAGGUGGUUUGUCGCGUUGUUCGUGAAAACUCACAGCUCAACUGUGGGCGUGCGGGCGAUACGGGCAGACUUGAGUACUGCAGGGGAGACUGGAAUUCCUGGUGUAGCGGUGGAAUGCGCAGAUAUCAGGAGGAACACCGGUGGCGAAGGCGGGUCUCUGGGCAUUAACUGACGCUGGAGGAGCGAAAGCAUGGGGAGCGAACAGG